AAGGAAAGAGGGAGGCAUGCCUAACACAUGCAAGUCGAACGAGACCUUCGGGUCUAGUGGCGCACGGGUGCGUAACGCGUGGGAACCUGCCCUUAGGUUCGGAAUAACUCCCCGAAAGGGGUGCUAAUACCGGAUAAUGUCUUCGGACCAAAGAUUUAUCGCCUUUGGAUGGGCCCGCGUUGGAUUAGCUAGUUGGUAGGGUAAAAGCCUACCAAGGCGACGAUCCAUAGCUGGUCUGAGAGGAUGAUCAGCCACACUGGGACUGAGACACGGCCCAGACUCCUACGGGAGGCAGCAGUGGGGAAUAUUGGACAAUGGGCGGAAGCAUGAUCCAGCAAUGCCGCGUGAGUGAUGAAGGCCUUAGGGUUGUAAAGCUCUUUUAACCGGGAUGAUAAUGACAGUACCGGGAGAAUAAGCUCCGGCUAACUACGUG
rnacentral:rRNA from 1 species